ensembl:lncRNA
ACAUACAGCUACAAAAUGGAUUUUAAAAAGAUUCUAGAAACUUCUGCCCACCUGCUCACCCACUCCCACUCCCAAUGAUCACAUUACCCCCAUCUUUCAGAACUUCCACUGGCUUACCAUCCCCCAGCUAAUUCACUUCAAAAUCCUCCUUAUCCCCGACAAAUCUCUCCAUAACUUGGCUCCCCCUUACCUGAAUGAACCUCUCCACUGACACACUGCCACCUGUACUCUCUGCUCUGCUGAUGUUGGCCGCCUAUCUAUCAACCUUCCGGACCAAAUGCCGGACCUGAGGUGACAAGGCUUUCUCCAAUGCCACUCCCACCCUCUGGAGCUCACUCCCUAAAAGCAUCAGAGAAUGCUGCUUUGUGUUCCUACCUACUUUUUAAAUCAUCUAGUGUCUAGAAAAGCACUAUAUGAGUAGAAAGAUCUAAAGGAAUGGUGCUGGACAUCAUGCUUGGGAAAAGUACAUGGUUAAAGGAGAAGAGGGAGGUAAAGAAUCAGAUGGAUAGACGGUGUGACCAACAUUUGACCUUGUAUUUAAAUUGCAGUGGCUGCUUAUUACUUUAAUGUAGACCUUGUUCUUGCAUCACACACCCUAAAGAAAUAUGUGAUUGUUUAACUUCAGCCAAAAGCACUAAUUUGAUUUUCCUCAACUCUACACAAGUUGUAACUAAACAUCAAACUCUUCUGGGCUUUGUAUUCCCCAUCUGCCAGUGAAUGAGGAGUUUAACAGGACAAUGUUUACUGAGCAUCUAUGGCCUGGUAUGGAGAAGUGGCUUCUGGUGACUGUGCUGGGACUGGAAAUGGUCGUGGGAGUUGUGGGAAACAGUCUUGUUCUGCUUGUCAAAGUCAUGUGUAGAGGCCAAUUCUGCUGUCGUUACUGGUUUCCUUUCAUCAGUCUCACCCUAUCAGAUCUAGCUGUCCUCUGUGUGCAGCGGCUGAUUGGCAUGGCCUUCAGAGGAAGUGCUCUCUUCGUUGUCAUGGUGACAGCGUGCUUGGUUUCUUGGGUGACAGGAGCUGUGUUCGGGAGCAUCCCUGUUGUUUACGCCUGGAUCAGGUAUGACCCUGCAGAGAUGCUGUGUGCUGUCUUCUGGGAGGGCAGCUACUCAGAUAUGUCGGUCUACAUUCUUUGUGCUUUCUCCAUCUGCAUCUUUCUCCCCUUCCUUCUCGUUUUUGGCUGCUUGGUACUCAGCGCUACUGGCUGUGGGUCCAGUGGCAACAGUGAUGAGGAGGCGGAUCUUUCUGAAGUGGCUCCUCUUUUGGUGGCCUCCUACACAAUCUGCUACACUCCCUUUGUUGUGUCUGAGCUGAUCCUGCUGGGUAGGAUGGACCUGUCUCCAGCACCUGAUUGGUUAAGGACAUUAUCCUCCGUUAUGUCAUACCUGGACUGUGGUUUAAACCCUCUUAUCUACUGCACCCAUCAGAGCUUCAGGGAGGCAGGUCUGGCACUGUUAUGGACUAAAAGGAAACCAAUGUCAGAGCCUGUUCUCACUGCUGUCAUUAAGCAUUAAAUGUAAACAUGUGAGGGUUGAUAUAUAAAAUUCAAAAGGUGAGCCCAAAAAUACGCAGAUUUUUAAAAUAUAACUGCCAAGCAAAUUUGAAGCAUGCUUGUUGUACCCUGUUAUAAAUAAUUAAAGAAAGAAAAUGUGAAUUAGACUUGUUUGCAUUGUCUAUUUUGAAGUGAACUAACUAGUCAACAUCAUGUCAUCAGGGAGUGACGCUAUAGGCUUCAUUACACAUUACUGUAAUAAACAGAGCAUUAAAAAACAGAAACAAAAACAGUUGUGUGCCAAUUGUUUAAAAGCCAUAAAGAAGAAGAAGAAACUAAUACAAUUGUGUCCAUCUGUGUGAGAAAAUGGAGAGGGGUCUUCAGGAAUUGUUUUCAGUCAGGUAAAUGGAAAUUAUUCUUUCAUGUUUGCAUGUUUACUGCUGUCUGGAUGUGA